rnacentral:rRNA from 1 species
UACGGGGGGGGCAAGCGUUGUUCGGAGUUACUGGGCGUAAAGGGCGCGUAGGCGGCUCAUACAGUCAGAUGUGAAAUUCCUGGGCUUAACCUGGGGGCUGCAUUUGAUACGUGUGGGCUUGAGUGGGGAAGAGGGUCGUGGAAUUCCCAGUGUAGAGGUGAAAUUCGUAGAUAUUGGGAAGAACACCGGUGGCGAAGGCGGCGACCUGGUCCUUGACUGACGCUGAGGCGCGAAAGCGUGGGGAGCAAACAGG